GACGAACCACCCAAACGUUAUUCGGAAUUACUGGGCUUAAAGGGUGCGUAGGCUGUGCGGAAAGUUGGGUGUGAAAUACCUCAGCUUAACUGAGGAAUGGCGCUCAAAACUACCGUGCUCGAGGGAGAUAGAGGUGAGCGGAACUUAGGGUGGAGCGGUGAAAUGUGUUGAUAUCCUAAGGAACACCGGUGGCGAAAGCGGCUCACUGGAUCUCUUCUGACGCUGAUGCACGAAAGCUAGGGUAGCGAACGGG
rnacentral:rRNA from 1 species